ACCGGGCAGCCGUGGGCAGGCUUUAAGGAGGUCAAAAGUAACAAGCAGCAAAAAAACAAGCCAGGCGCCGGGAAAGCGCAGUGCCCGGGCAAAGAGCGAAGUUGAGCGGAGCAAGAGCCCUCGGCUUUCCUCAGCACCUCUGCUUUUCCUUCCAAGAUUGGCGGCGGCAAUGGGGAUGAUGGAAGAAGAAGAAGCCGAUUACCAGAAGCAGUUUGACGCUGCUGUUCGUGUCAUUCAAGGCUUGCCCAAGAAUGGUGCCUACCGACCGUCGUACGAAGAAAUGCUACGCUUCUACAGCUACUACAAGCAAGCCACGGUGGGUCGGUGCCAGAUCCCCAGGCCGGGGUUUUGGGACCCUAUUGGCAGAUAUAAAUGGGAUGCAUGGAACAGCUUGGGGAAGAUGACCAAAAUGGAAGCCAUGGCAGCUUAUAUCGCAGAGAUGAAGAAGGCUGCUCAGAAGGUCAUCAACACCGUGCCGUUGGAUGAGUCAUCGGAGGACAUGUUCGUAUACUUCGAACCCCUCUACGAAGUGAUACACGAUAUGCCCAGGCCCCCCGACUCCUUCUUCAAGAAGAAAGCAGUGAAAACGGGCUCAGAGUCUGCCCCGCUCCACAAUGGCUCUUUAAGGGGACUAGCCGAGAACAUCCCACCAGAACACGGAGAGUGCAAUCAAACAGGCAAGAUUUACAGAUAUUCUAGCAAAAUGCCAACCAUGAUGACAGGCCCUGCAGACAAAGAAAUCAAGAGCAGUCAUGUGCCCAGCGAUUCGGAGAGCGAGGUGUUCUGUGACAGCCUGGAACAUGUGGAACCCGAUCAGGUUAGGAGGCUAUCAGCCAUGCAAAACCUCCCCCUGAACAAUAUUCAGAGUGGAGAGAAGACUGGAUAUAAGACUUCAGCAUCUUCAACCAGGGAAGGGAAACCCAACAAAGUUCCGCAAACCGUCCCCACCGGCGAGAGGGGUCUCGGCAGCAGUGCGGGUGCCGUGAUCCAGCGAGACGUGGACCUGCAGGUGAUGAGCGCCAUUCAAGCUUUGCAGGAGGACAUGAAGAAAGUGAUGGAGAGACUCGGCUACCUGGAAUCCCGGGCAACUUUCCAGGCACGUUGCCCGUUCUGAUGGGGAGACACGUUUGUUUCUUUUAUAAAUAAAUGCACAGAUUUUUCAGAGCAGCUGGGGAGGGAACUUUCUGAGAUAUUGCAAAGCAUUGUGGAUGCAUUAUGUGCACUGUAUAAAAACUUAAAAGAGUCCCUAGCUCUCAUCAGGCAGUGGAUCUUCCUGCACAUCUGGGAACAAGGAACUUCCUAAAACCAAAAUCACCUUUGCCAAUACAAGGGUGCCUGUGCAUUAUUAUCUUUUGGGGAAAUUGUCCUCUGUGCUGCACAAGGACACAAGACAGGGCCUGCUCAGUGGCUGCACCUAGACUCUGAAACCUCCUGCCUUUGUCCCCCUCGCUGAUGAUCUUUGGCUGAUAGGAUCAAUAACUGCUAAUGAUUCUCUAUUAUUAUACCUGAAGAAGCUUCUCCACCCCCAUCGUUCUGCCCAGACACUGAGGUCCAGCGCCGAGGGUCUUCUGGCGGUUCCCUCGCUACGAGAAGCCAAGUUACAGGGAACCAGGCAGAGGGCCUUCUCGGUAGUGGCACCCACCCUGUGGAACGCCCUCCCACCAGAGGUCAAAGAGAACAACAAUUACCAGACCUUUAGAAGGCAUCUCAAGGCAGCCCUGUUUAGGGAAGCUUUUAAUGUUUGAUUUCUGUAUUUUAAUGUUUUGUUGGAAGCCGCCCAGAGUGGCUGGGGGAACCCGGCCAGAUGGGUGGGGUAUAAAUAACAAAUUAUUAUUAUUAUUAUUAUUAUUAUUAUUAUUAUUAUUAUUAGCAGCAGCAGCAGCAGCAAACUGCCCAGUUUUAGAAAUUUCAAACAGCCCCCCUUGUGGAGAAGAUCUGGGCUCUUUUGUUAACGGAGAAACUCUCUUUCCCACCAAUUAAAAGUUUCAGAAUCUUUAGGCAAAGGUUUUCUGGCUAUCAGGUUCCACGUUAUGGCGAUAGUAACUCAGGGAAGCGGUUAUUUAACCCUGAGCAACACAUUACUACGCAUAUAGGUUUUGUGCUAUAGCAGUUGUACUUAGUUGGAGCCAAUAAGAAGAGUUAAAUCUUUCAGUGCUAGGAAAUAAGAGCUUUAUUUAUCCAUUCUGGAUUUUAUGGUUUGUGGCCUGUAUCUGUUUAACUUCAUUGUGCAGCUGUUCAGUGAAGAUGGCCUUAACCGUGUUCCACACAAAUUCUUUGGGACGGCGUUCGCUGUGGAACUGUCCAGAGGUGUUCAACUGUGGGGGCCACACAUCGAUGCUGAAUCCUUGUCGGCCAACUUCCUUGCACAAUGGAAAGGAACCUCCAGGUUGGCCUGCACAGCUGUCUCCUCGCACCUGGUUUUUCCUGCUGGCUUGGCC